rnacentral:rRNA from 1 species
UACGUAGGUGGCAAGCGUUGUCCGGAUUUACUGGGCGUAAAGAGCGCGCAGGCGGUCGUUCAAGUCGCGUGUGAAAGCCCCGGGCUCAACCCGGGAAGUGCACUCGAUACUGCGUGGCUUGAGUACCGGAGAGGUUGGUGGAAUUCUCGGUGUAGAGGUGAAAUUCGUAGAUAUCGAGAGGAACACCGGUGGCGAAGGCGGCCAACUGGACGAAUACUGACGCUGAGACUCGAAAGCGUGGGGAGCAAACAGG